AGCAAAAUAAAAAAGGGGGAAAAAAAAAUGUAAAACGCACAACAAAAAAUCAAAGGAGGAAGCUGAAGGCCCUAUACACACAUAACCUACAAAAAUGGAUCUAUCGUCACCACUUUCUCUCUCUAUUGUCUGAUCCCCUACUUCCUCCAAACGGUAUCGUUUCGAUAGAGCUUCUUCUUCAUACCCAGAAUUUUCUGGUUCGAUCGGUAAAUGUUUAGUUCUAUCACAGUGCAAGGAUAAGAAACAUUUUUAACUUGUCCAACAAAUGGCUUCUGUGGGUGUGGCACCUACUGGUAUGAGAGAAGCUAGUGGCCAUAAUGCUGGUGUUGAUAAAUUACCUGAGGAGAUGAAUGAUAUGAAAAUUAGGGAUGACAAAGAAAUGGAAGCAACAGUAGUUGAUGGCAAUGGUACAGAGACAGGUCAUAUUAUAGUUACAACAAUUGGUGGUAGAAAUGGCCAGCCAAAGCAGACAAUAAGCUACAUGGCUGAGCGUGUUGUUGGGCAUGGAUCAUUCGGGGUUGUUUUCCAGGCAAAAUGUU
rnacentral:misc_RNA from 1 species